rnacentral:rRNA from 1 species
UGUCGGCGACCGGCGCACGGGUGCGUAACGCGUAUGCAACCUACCCAUUACAGGGGGAUAACACUGAGAAAUCGGUACUAAUACCCCAUAACAUCCAGGGAGGCAUCUUCUUGGGUUGAAAGCUCCGGUGGUAAUGGAUGGGCAUGCGUUGUAUUAGUUAGUUGGUGGGGUAACGGCUCACCAAGACAACGAUACAUAGGGGGACUGAGAGGUUAACCCCCCACAUUGGUACUGAGACACGGACCAAACUCCUACGGGAGGCAGCAG